CCUACGGGAGGCAGCAGUAAGGAAUAUUGGUCAAUGGGCGCAAGCCUGAACCAGCCAUGCCGCGUGCAGGAAGACGGCCCUAUGGGUUGUAAACUGCUUUUGAACAAGAGAAAACCUCGGUACGUGUACCGAGCUGAUAGUAUUGUUAGAAUAAGCAUCGGCUAACUUCGUGCCAGCAGCCGCGGUAAGACGAAGGAUGCAAGCGUUAUCCGGAUUCAUUGGGUUUAAAGGGUGCGUAGGCGGCCUGAUAAGUCAGUGGUGAAAUCUCUCAGCUUAACUGAGAAACUGCCAUUGAUACUGUCGGGCUUGAGUACAGAUGAUGUGGGCGGAAUAUGACAUGUAGUGGUGAAAUACUUAGAUAUGUCAUAGAACACCGAUUGCGAAGGCAGCUCACAAAACUGUAACUGACGCUGAGGCACGAAAGUGCGGGGAUCAAACAGGAUUAGAUACCCUGGUAGUCCGCACCGUAAACGAUGAUUACUCGUUGUUGGCAAUAUGACCCGUGAGCGACCGACGACGAAGACGAAGUAAGUAAGUUACACCGUACGGGUUAGGUUACGGACCGGCCGACGGUUACGGAACGACGAAGGAAGUUAGACGGACGNGAGACGNGCGACGGACGACGACGAGGAGGAGG
rnacentral:rRNA from 1 species